ensembl:lncRNA
UUAAAGGGGUCGUCCACGUUUGCAACCCAGCAGUGAACGAGGAGAACGUACAGGUCUCCGGGGAAGCCGGCGGCCAGGCUCCUCUUAAACAGAAAGCAACAAUCGUGCAUUCAGUAAAUGUUUCUGAGCAUCUGCCGCGCAGCCUGAGGACAGAAGUCAACCUGGGGGUCAGAGGAGAUCCCUGGACGAGAUACGAGAUGAGAAAUGAAGUUUUGGGUAAGACUUUUCAAGAAGGCCACAAAAGUUCCCAUAAUCUUUCUCAUCUUGAAACCAUUGAGCAUCUGGCUGUGAAGUGAGGCUCAGGCCCUUGGCAAAUCCCAAGAUGAACCAUCAUCUCUUCCCGUCUCGUAAUUUACACAGGUCCCGAAGCCUUACAGAUAUGCAAAUAAGCUGAUAACAAUUUGAAAAAACACAAAACAAGAAUCUCCAAUUAUGGGAGCAAAGCCACCGGCUUCUCAAGUUCCUGCCUCACUGAGGAAAUGGAUUUGAAAUGUCAAGGAGGAAAUGAGGAGGUCAACUUUCAUGUCUAUUUUAGUUUUCCAGUGAAGUCCCAUUUCCUUUUGACUUUGUAUAAACAAAGAAAGGACAGUUGUUAGUUUGGUUAUUAUAGAUAACCUAUGUCUUUAAAGUAAAUGUAGUUUAUCUAAAUGGGGAUUUAAUAAAUGACUAAAUAUUUUCAAAAUAUAACCGCUCGUUAAUAACGAGAAUAACAACAGAUAUUUUAUUGAGCAAUUACUAUGUAACAGGCCCUUACUGGGCACUUAGCAUACACUAUAAAUACUGUUGACUGGCUAUGUCUAUUUUAC